rnacentral:rRNA from 1 species
GGACUACCCGGGUAUCUAAUCCCGUUCGCUCCCCUGGCUUUCGCGUUUGAGCGUCAGAAACGAGCCAGGAUACUGCCUUCGCCUUGGUGUUCUUCCAGAUCUCUACGCAUUUCACUGCUCCACCUGGAGUUCCGUAUCCCUCUCUCGCUCUCAAGUCCACCAGUUUUCAAAGGUCUUCACCGGUUAAGCCGGUGACUGUUGCUCUGAACUUAAUGGACCGCCUGCACGCGCUUUACGCCCAGUAAUUCCGGACAACGCUCGCCCCCUACGUAUUACCGCGGCUGCUGGCAC